rnacentral:rRNA from 1 species
CCUACGGGUGGCAGCAGUGAGGAAUAUUGGUCAAUGGCCGGAACCCUGAUGCAGCGACGCCGCGUGGGUGAAGGAGUGCUUCGGCAUGUAAAGCCCUAUCGGCAGGGAAGAAGCAAGACGGUACCUGACUAAGAAGCCCCGGCUAACUACGUGCCAGCAGCCGCGGUAAUACGUAGGGGGCGAGCGUUAUCCGGAUUUAUUGGGUUUAAAGGGUGCGUAGGCUGUGAGGUAAGUCAGCGGUGAAAUGCCCCCGCUCAACGGGGUGAAGUGCCAUUGAUACUGCCUUGCUGGAAUGCGGAUGCCGUGGGAGGAAUGUGUGGUGUAGCGGUGAAAUGCAUAGAUAUCACACAGAACACCGAUUGCGAAGGCAUCUCACGAAUCCGCGAUUGACGCUGAUGCACGAAAGCGUGGGUAUCAAACAGGAUUAGAUACCCGAGUAGUC